UAAGAAGGGAGAAAACACAAGGAAAUAAUGGUGAAUGCAUGGUAUAUGGAUGACUCCAAUGCUGAUCAGAAAUUAGAACAUCAUUUGAAUCCUCCUCAGUUUAUUAGCAUUAAAGAACUUUAUGAAAACUGUGGAGUUAUUUAUUAUCAAUUAGAUGCUGAUAACUAUGAUGCAGAAGGAAAAUUGGAAAAGAUCAAGAAAGACAAGGGUUAUAACUAUGAAGAUGAGAUUCAGCUGUCGCGAAAUAAACUACCUGAUUAUGAGGAAAAGUUGAAGAUAUUUUAUAAAGAACAUCUGCACUCUGAUGAAGAGGUUCGAUUCUUUUUGGAUGGUAGUGGCUAUUUUGAUGUAAGGGACAAGAAUGAUAAAUGGGUGAGGAUUCAGUCAGAAAAGGGGGACUUGCUUGUUCUUCCUGCAGGAAUUUAUCAUCGCUUUACACUUGAUACAAAUAACUCUUCCAUCUGGUGUCAAGACAGUUCACCAACAGUCUUCUCUGCUCACUCUAGUUUCCAACAUAUUUAGGUCCAAGGAGAUCCAGCAGGAUUUUAAAACUUGUGAGCCUAGUUGGGUCUCUUCCCCUGUUGAGCCAGUCAUCGAGGGGCUCAGAGAUACUGAACAUGGAGGAAAAAAAAAGAAAUUGACUGAGGUCUUCUGUGAUUACGAACUGAAAAGGAGUUUCAGAAGUCUGUCGUUGAUCAACUUUUUGGCUGAGUUUAAGAAAUAUGUAUCCUAUGCUGGCAGAAAAAGCUACCGCAGUUUUGUUACUGUUUUCCACAACAUAGUUACAAAAAAUAUUCAUUUAUUAGUUAGCCAGGCCAUAUUUUUUGUUCAACUUGGGGCAUGAUAGUGUGGUGUAGCUAACUAUGGAUGGAUAUUUGCUGUAAAAUUAUUAUCAAUGCUUUAAGUGUAGCUGUCAGUUUGGCCAUCAGUUUUGAUUUCAUUCCUUUAAGUCACACACUGUAUCCUUUUUUGACCACACCCUUUUUUUCAUGCCUAAGGUAUUUUUAAUCAGAUAUUAUGACUUUUUGUCAAUACACACCAACAAAUCCCAGCAAGUAAGAAAGUGCCACUCAGUAGUAACCAAAAUUAACUUUAGGAUCAUAAUCCUAUUAUUUGGAGUAGACCUAUACUUUACAGAACAAACCAGAUUCCUUAAAAUAUGUGGUAGUAAUUUUCCUCUCUAAAACAGAGUCAAUAACAUCCUUUAUAGUAAUGCCAUGGAAUCAAGAUUAACAGUUUCUUGUCAUCACCCACAUGUACUUGGUAUAGCUGUAUCAAGCAUCAUUAUUUAUGAUAAUUGCAUAAGCUAAUUUCACAUGACACUAAAUGCUCUUUAAUUAGGAUAAUUUGAUAAAAUUUAGCAAAUUUGUGCAUAUAAGUUGGCAAUGAAUAAUAACCAUCCACCCAUAUGAUUCUUUUGAAAACUUCAGCUAGAAACUGCUAAUCUAGUUUGCUUGGCCUAACACCAAUAUUUAUGCAUCUGCACAUACUUUCACCCUAUAGUUUUGCUAUAAAUCAGCUGUAUUUAAUCCAAGUGACAAAAACUAAAAACAUUCCACUUUUACUCUUAGGUGAAGCUGAAGUAAAACUUUUAGACCCAUAGCUCAAGUGAGUUUUUGCAUGAGUGGUUUUGGUUGAAUAACUUUGCACAUGUGGCUUAUAUGUAGACCAAAUUUGACACCUAAUUGUAGGAUGUAAAGAUCUGUCAGUGAACCACAUUUGAAAAGAAUCCAUAAAAGUUAAGUAUGUUUUUUAAUCAAAUAAAAUUUCUGUACUUUCGGUGCAAAGAAGAAAUUCAAUCAGAAUUGGACAUUUUAUAUCUCCUGUCUUUCUUAAUGGAUUGCCUUGAAAUUUGGUAUGUGAAGUAAGGGUCCAGUAGAGCACAUACACUGAAAAUAUUUUUGUUUGGCUUUUUGUUUUUAAUUUUUUCUUUUGGAUGGAAUAUACAAGAUAGUUUGCAAACAUAAAACUUUGAAAAGAUGUAAUAUGAUCUAUGAAUUCAUCGUAAUCAUCAUUCAAUUACAAUUUUUUUUGGUAAUGUUUUAUUAAAGCAAUUGAAAUAAAUGUAUGAUGCUUCAUAAUUAUAAAUACUUCUAAAUGUGUUUCAAAAUAUCCACCAUAAAAUUGUGUGUAUAUAUAUAUGGAAAAGUUUUUGUUUUAAAUGAAACAAAAUACACGAUUGUAAUUAGAAGCUUGAGCUAUAGUUAAAUUUUUGUCGUGAAUGUUGCCUUAAAACUUCUUUUCUCAUCCAUUUAUAGAAUUAUGCAAAAGUCAUUAGAUUUUUCAGUGGUGAGCCAUGUUGGAAACCCAAUAAUAGACCAUCUGAUGACCAUCCAGCAAGACAGAAGUACCUGAAACAAUUAGCUGAAGGAUUUCAUGAAUGCCCUUUAUAAAAACCAGAAAUUAUUUUUAUUUGAAUUAAAUGAUGAUAAAAAUAGAUUUCACAUGUUUUAUUUUUCUUACUAAGCUUCAGUUUUUAAUGCAGUUUUUAUAAUAUGUCAACGAAUCACUUAAAGUCAGUUAGAAUAAACCUUUCUUUCAGUUAUGUUACUUAUAAAACUUCAGUUAAGUUACAUAAAAAAAAGAAACAUAAUAAAUAAUCCUUAUUAAGUAUCAAA
rnacentral:misc_RNA from 1 species